GAUAAUAAACGAAUUGAUUUAUGUUCUCCAUCUAAAUUUAGCUACUUAUCAUUGAAUCAAAAUGGUGGUCCAAAUCAGACUGUAGUUAAACCAGCUAGUCAUCAUACUGACGGUGGUAAUCAGUGUAAUACACAGUUGUCUACUGCUGGUAGUAUCUAUGCUUUAUAUAAUGCUAGUCAUGAUACAAGUAGAGAAGAGGAAAGUUUCUCCCCUACAUGUCAUGUUAAAACAUAUAAAGAUUGUGAAACUGUAACUAAAAGAAACAGAGAAAGACCUCCAAGCCCUUCACCUGAUACAAAAAGUGAUGUGUGUGAUCCUUCGUGGUUUGGUGGGCAGGGUAGUGUUAAAAAUCUAGUUGGUUUAUAUCAAAAACACACAAGCCAGCAUUUUUCUCAACAAGCCAUAUUACAUGGACAGAAAACAAAUGCAGAUAAACAAACUUUUAAUAAUAGUGCUUUUGAUCUGCCACCACAGUAUCCUCGGCCUUCAUCAUUUAAAAGUUUACCAGAUGAUUCUGUAACAAAUAUAUAUUAUGCAAGAGCUGCUAAAA